rnacentral:sRNA from 20 species
CAACGAUCUCGUUAUGGCGAGGCUCCUGUACAAAUACACGUUAUCGCUCUGGUGGGUUCGAGAGAACCGGCACAGGGUAAAACAGGCACUGUCGAAUCAAGGCUUUGUCAGUAUAACUUCCCUUGCGGGAUACGGUGUACAGUGCUGAACCCAGGACGUGGGGAUCUCUU